rnacentral:lncRNA from 1 species
UAAAAUUUCUAACCACAUUCUACAUUUGUAUUAAUGUAUUUUAAACUUUUUUCAUGAUAUAUGGGAGUCGAUAAAUAUUUUUAUCAAUUAAUUUAGUAAAACUUCAUAAUACUUCUUAAAUCGAUGGAAUAACCACUAUAAAAUCACUAUUAUCUCGAAAAACAGAGACAACAAAGGCUCCAAACAUCUUUGAACAUCAUCAUAUGUUAGUGCAGGAUGCAACU